GGUGGCUCAGUGGUAGAGCUCUUGCCUUGCAUGCAUGAGGCACUGGGUUCGAUUCCUCAGUACCA
rnacentral:tRNA from 1 species